CAAUAGCGUAUAUUUAAGUUGUUGCAGUUAAAAAGCUCGUAGUUGGAUUUCGGGUAGGAUUUGCCGGUCCGUCUUUGAGAUGUGUACUGGUAAGUCCUAUCUUCUUGUCGGGGACCAGCUCCUGGGCUUCACUGUCCGGGACUGGGAGCCGACGAAGUUACUUUGAGUAAAUUAGAGUGUUCAAAGCAAGCCUACGCUCUGAAUAUAUUAGCAUGGAAUAACACGAUAGGACUCUGGCUUAUCUUGUUGGUCUGUGAGACCAGAGUAAUGAUUAAGAGGGACAGUCGGGGACAUUCGUAUUUCGGCGCUAGAGGUGAAAUUCUUAGAUUGCCGAAAGACAAACUGCUGCGAAAGCGUCUGCCAAGGAUGUUUUCAUUGA
rnacentral:rRNA from 1 species